rnacentral:rRNA from 1 species
GACAGAGGGUGCAAACGUUGUUCGGAAUUACUGGGCGUAAAGCGCGUGUAGGCGGCUAAGUAAGUCGGGCGUGAAAUCCCACGGCUCAACCGUGGAAGUGCACUCGAAACUGCAUAGCUAGAGUCCUGGAGAGGAAGGUGGAAUGCUUGGUGUAGAGGUGAAAUUCGUAGAUAUCAAGCGGAACACCGGUGGCGAAGGCGGCCUUCUGGACAGUGACUGACGCUGAGACGCGAAAGCUAGGGGAGCAAACGGG